rnacentral:misc_RNA from 1 species
CACGUAGGGGGCGAGCGUUGUCCGGAUUUAUUGGGCGUAAAGGGCUCGUAGGCGGUUCAGCAAGUCAACUGUGAAAACCCGGGGCUCAACCCCGGGACGCCAGUCGAAGCUGCUGUGACUAGGGUCCGGUAGAGGUGAGUGGAAUUCUCGGUGUAGCGGUGAAAUGCGCAGAUAUCGAGAGGAACACAAGUAGCGAAGGCGGCUCACUGGGCCGGUACCGACGCUGAGGAGCGAAAGCGUGGGGAGCAAACAGG